rnacentral:rRNA from 1 species
GACGAACGCUGGCGGCGUGCCUAAUACAUGCAAGUAGAACGCUGAAGGAGGAGCUUGCUUCGCUGGAUGAGUUGCGAACGGGUGAGUAACGCGUAGGUAACCUGCCUGGUAGCGGGGGAUAACUAUUGGAGACGAUAGCUAAUACAGAAGAAGAGUAGAUGUAGCAUGACAUUUGUUGAAAAGGUGCAAUUGCGACACUACCAGAUGGACUUGCGUUGUAUUAGGGAGAUGGGGAGGUAACGGCGCACCCAGGCAACGAUACAUAGCCGACGAGAGAGGGUUGUCGGCCACCCUUGGACUUGGACACCGCCCCGACUCCUACCGGAGGCAGCAGUAGGGAAUCUUCGGCCAUGGACGGAAGUCUGACCGAGCCACGCCGCGUUAGGUAAGAAGGGUCUCGGAUCUGAAAGCUCCGUUGUAAGAGAAGAACGAGUGUGAGGGUGGAACGUUCACACUGUGACGGUACCUUAACAGAAAGGGACGGCUAACUACGUG